AUUGAACGCUGGCGGCAGGCCUAACACAUGCAAGUCGAGCGAGCGGCGGACGGGUGAGUAAUGUCUGGGAAACUGCCUGUUGGAGGGGGAUAACUACUGGAAACGGUAGCUAAUACCGCAUACCAUCAGAUGUGCCCAGAUGGGAUUAGCUAGUAGGUGGGGUAAUGGCUCACCUAGGCGACGAUCCCUAGCUGGUCUGAGAGGAUGACCAGCCACACUGGAGCUGAGGUACGGUCCAGACGCCUACGGUAGGCAGCAGUCGGGAAUUGUGGACAAUGGGCGCGAGCCUGAUGCAGCCAUGCCGCGUGUGUGAAGAAGGCCUUCGGUUUGUAAAGCACUUUCGGCGUGGAGGCGUUACCCGAAGAAGAAGCACCGGCUAACUCCGUGCCAGCAGCCGCGGUAAUAC
rnacentral:rRNA from 1 species